rnacentral:rRNA from 1 species
GUGGGGAAUAUUGCACAAUGGGCGAAAGCCUGAUGCAGCCAUGCCGCGUGUGUGAAGAAGGCCUUCGGGUUGUAAAGCACUUUAGGCGGGGAGGAAAAGCUAACGAUUAAUACUCGUUAGCCGUGACGUUACCCGCAGAAUAAGCACCGGCUAACUCCGUGCCAGCAGCCGCGGUAAUACGGAGGGUGCAAGCGUUAAUCGGAAUUACUGGGCGUAAAGCGCGCGUAGGCGGUUUGAUAAGCGGAGUGUGAAAUCCCCGGGCUUAACCUGGGAACUGCAUUCCGAACUGUCGAGCUAGAGUAUGAGAGAGGGUGGCGGAAUUCCGAGUGUAGCGGUGAAAUGCGUAGAUAUUCGGAGGAACACCAGUGGCGAAGGCGGCCACCUGGAUCAAUACUGACGCUGAGGCGCGAAAGCGUGGGGAGCAAACAGGAUUAGAAACCCGAGUAGUCC